GAAGAACGCUGGCGGCGUGCCUAAUACAUGCAAGUCGAGCGAACUGAUUAGAAGCUUGCUUCUAUGACGUUAGCGGCGGACGGGUGAGUAACACGUGGGCAACCUGCCUGUAAGACUGGGAUAACUUCGGGAAACCGAAGCUAACACCGGAUAGGAUCUUCUCCUUCAUGGGAGAUGAUUGAAAGAUGGUUUCGGCUAUCACUUACAGAUGGGCCCGCGGUGCAUUAGCUAGUUGGUGAGGUAACGGCUCACCAAGGCAACGAUGCAUAGCCGACCUGAGAGGGUGAUCGGCCACACUGGGACUGAGACACGGCCCAGACUCCUACGGGAGGCAGCAGUAGGGAAUCUUCCGCAAUGGACGAAAGUCUGACGGAGCAACGCCGCGUGAGUGAUGAAGGCUUUCGGGUCGUAAAACUCUGUUGUUAGGGAAGAACAAGUACAAGAGUAACUGCUUGUACCUUGACGGUACCUAACCAGAAAGCCACGGCUAACUACGUGCCAGCCGCCGCUGUAACAC
rnacentral:rRNA from 1 species